GCCUUCGUGGUGUAUAGGUCAGCACACUGAGCCGGUAUUUCAGAGGUCCGCGGUUCGAUCCCCGGCGAAGGCA
rnacentral:tRNA from 1 species